CCGCGGGCGGCCGGGCUCCUGGCCCCCUGUCUGGGGCUUAUCGACGUGGUUAAGCUCCUGUAAGAGCGACCACGUGUGUGUUGAGGGAAAACUCCUGAAUGCGGGCUGGUCUGCAUGCGGUGUGUAGUUGCAUUUGUCAGGCUCAGCUGUCACCGUGCAUUCACAUCUCCUGGAUAUAUGGAUGCAUGUGAUGUAAAUCGCUGGCAGCCUAGAUAUAAUUGUGCAGAAUGUUCUUUUACACCUACCCAUUUCUAAGCACAUGUGUUUGCAUUUAUUUAAUGAAGAUCCGGGGGGAGAGCGAUGGAAGUCGAAAAAGCACAAACUAACUCGGUCAGCUUUUGAUUUGCGAUAAUGAAGAGGGGGUUUUCUGAUCUGCCUUUGCAGGGGUAUAUGCCCUUUCCUUUCGCAUCGGAGCCCCCAAUGUUUGUUCUCCCGACAACCUUAGACAUUCUGCAGCCAGGGAGGGCCUCUGUACCCAACAGGCGGAGGGCUCAGUCUGUGAAUAUCCUGUAAGUGUCGGGAAUGCACACCUGGUACCUCUCCGCUGGUAUCCACAGCUUAACGAAGUAAAUAGAAGAUGUCAAGGAGGAAUACGAUAUUGGUGGCCCAAUCCACAGUUCACUGCGACCUGCACACCUCGAAGCUUUGUUGGAUUCUUCAGAUGCUGAUUGCAUUGCAGAUGAAGCUUCAGAUCCUCGUCCUCUCCUUAAACAUGCUCUAGCAUUUUUGUCAUCGCUUGCAUUUUACUUUCACGUGGCAAACACUUUGUACAGCUUACUGAGAAGUAGGAACACCCCACGGGGCCGGCCACGCAGGGCACCCCUCUGGUCCCCCUCAGAGAGAUCCUGUGAGGAGAGUACUCUGCAGGUGGCCUCUGGCUCCCACAACUUCAGAUCUGUUCUGGUGUUCACAUCAGGGCCGCAUUCUGCCCAGAACGCCCUCUCCAAAGUAAAAAGCAACCAGCUGCGUCUUGUGGGAUCUACUACAAAAAAGGUAGCCCUCUUGUGUCCCGGAAGCAACACAGAUCAUACUUAGAAAGUGCUGCAGCCUAUGUGAUAAGUGACAUGGAUGGAAGAAGCUACCAGCACUGAGAGGGCUCAGAGCAGGGAAGAGUUUUGCAGGAAGCCCCGGCUGUGCUGCAAACACUCUGCUUCUUGGACCAUACAAUCAAGCAGAUCCUUUGUUGUGGGUGUUUGGUGUCAGAGGUGAGAAAAGGUACAAUAGGGAGAUGAUGGCAAGCCCCAGCGGAAGAAUCACAAUGCAGGUCUAUGGGGGAUCUGAAGCAAGGCUGUAUUCUCUGCAAAAGGGAACUGUCUCUUUUUUGAGAAUCAGUGCUUGGUAAGCUGCCUGACCUUGGUAGAAAAGGAAUGCUUGACCAUAGGACACCAAGUGACCAGCCAUCUAGAAUUUCCCAUUAUAAGCUCAGUCUUGUUGAACCUGCCAAGACAAAUUCAAAAGGACCCAAAGCAGUGUACUGUAGGUUGGACACGGCAUAUCCAGAAUCAGUCUGAGUGGGAACAGAGGGCAUGAGUAAGCUACCAGAACUGGUUGCCCAGUCCCUCAUGUUCCCUGGUGUUGCACUAAGCACCUCUUCCUUAGCUCUCACCUGGGGGAGGAUUGAGGUUCUGCACAACCAGCUGAAAAAGGAAGAGAAGCCUGCAUUUGCUUUAUAGAUGGAAAGGCACAGUAUGUGGAUGAAGCUGAAAAUGAAUGGAGGCUCUACUCAGGAGUGGUCUUGAAAGUCUCUAGAUGGGGGAAAAUCUUUCUAAGGGGCAGGGUUGUGAGUGGUAAGCCAUCUGUUAGUGGUAAGGUCAUCUGUUUUGUGUGGAAAAAAAAUUGGCAUAAGGUAGGAAUGUAUAUAGAUUUCCAGGUAAUGGCCAACAGCCUGGACAUCUAGUGAAAAGCCUGGAAGGAAGAGGACUGGAAGAUUGGACACAUGAAGUUCUAGGGUAGAGACAUGGGAAUGGGUGCUAAAUGUAUAGAGUUUUGUGUUGCAUGUCAUUGCUUUCCGGAGGGAAGCACUGAAAACCCAAUCAGACAAAAGGACUCAGCCAGUUGAUGUCAGCCAUCCUUCCUUGCCACCCAUCCUAGAUCUGGAACAAGGGACCUGUGAACUUAGUGGCCUUGGCAGCAGAGAUGGAGGUAAUACAUGGGCCCAACAGAAAGGACUCAAAUUUAUCAAGGCCAAUUUAGUAACUGCUUUUGCUGAAUGUCCAACCUGCCAGCAACAGAGACUAGUUCUUGAGAAUACCAUUAUGUACUUGGUGGCAGGUUGACUAUACAUUAGGCCUCUUCUAGCCCGGAAGAGCCAGUGGUUUAUCCUCUCUAGGGGUAGACACCUAUUCUGGGUAUGGGUUUCCCUAUCAUGCCCACAGAACUCAGCCAGUAUCACCACUACUCAGGAGCUUACAGGAUACUUGAUCCAUAGCCAUGGAAUUUAAUACAGCAUCACGAAUGACCAGGGGACCUACUUCAGAAUGAACGAGUUCCUAAAGUGAGCCCUGACCUUGGGAUCCAUAGGGCUUAUUACAUGCUGCCUUACAUACUACAUACAGCAUGCCUCUGUUAUCCAUGAGGAGCCAGCCUCAUGGAAUGGUCUGGUCUCCUGAAGGCACAGCUGAAGUUCCAGUCUGCUGGUAAUAAUCUGCAAAAAUGGAUUGGUGUCCUUCAGAAUGCAGUAUAUUCACUAAAUCAGCUUCUACAUAGCACUAUGUGCUCCGUAAAAAGAACCCAUAGGCUCCAGGAACUAAGAGGUGGAAGCAAGAGGACCUCACACAACAUCACAUCCAAUGAUCUUUUUCUCUCUGUGUAACUCUGGGCCCCACGGAACUUCCAGUGGGGAAACACUUGUAAGAGGACAAAAUGAAAAUCCUGUUGAACUGCAAAUUCUUAGCAGGAGAAGGCUUUUAUAAAAUGGGGACAGAAGGGAAUAUGUGUGGAACACAGAUGCUCCAUUGGGAGCUUCCUGGUACUUCACAGACCCCUUGUAGAUGCACAGCUUCAGCAUGAGAAGGGCAUGAAUUACCAAGGUUUGGACCUUCCAGGAAUGAGGGUUUGGGCCACACGACCAGGUAAACCUCCAAAAGCUGCUGCUGUGGUAGCUCAGGGUAAGGGGGAUUUAAGAAGGGUGAGAAGAAGAGGGAGAGGAUAACCACUCACAGCCCCAAGACCUACUACAGUGAUGGGGCUUCUAUUUGUCCCAGUAACUUCCCAUUUCUAAGCUUUCCC
rnacentral:lncRNA from 1 species